rnacentral:rRNA from 1 species
AAGACCUUGCACUUUUGGAGCGGCCGAUGUCUGAUUAGCUAGUUGGUGGGGUAAUGGCCUACCAAGGCUUCGAUCAGUAGCUGGUCUGAGAGGACGGCCAGCCACACUGGGACUGAGACACGGCCCAGACUCCUACGGGAGGCAGCAGUGGGGAAUUUUGGACAAUGGGCGCAAGCCUGAUCCAGCCAUGCCGCGUGAGUGAAGAAGGCCUUCGGGUUGUAAAGCUCUUUCAGCCGGGAAGAAAAGGUUGCGACUAAUAAUCGCAAUCCACGACGGUACCGAAAGAAGAAGCACCGGCUAACUACGUGCCAGCAGCCGCGGUAAUACGUAGGGUGCGAGCGUUAAUCGGAAUUACUGGGCGUAAAGGGUGCGCAGGCGGUUUUGUAAGUCAGAUGUGAAAUCCCCGGGCUUAACCUGGGAACU